rnacentral:rRNA from 1 species
UACGUAGGGGGCAAGCGUUGUCCGGAUUUAUUGGGCGUAAAGAGCGUGUAGGCGGCUUUACAGGUCCGUUGUGAAAACUCGAGGCUCAACCUCGAGACGCCGGUGGAAACCGUAAAGCUAGAGUCCGGAAGAGGAGAGUGGAAUUCCUGGUGUAGCGGUGAAAUGCGCAGAUAUCAGGAGGAACACCAAUAGCGAAGGCAGCUCGCUGGGACGUUACUGACACUAAGGCGCGAAAGCGUGGGGAGCGAACGAGG